AUGGUCAUGAAGUGGCUGGUGAAAAAUGUUUGUUUAUCAGCAAAUCGUAGGUAUUUUCCAAAGCUGCAAUCACUAUGACCUAUUGGGAUUCAAAGCUGCUUCCUAAGCAUGCCCAUUCCUUGGUUACAUCAUCAAAGGACCAGACAGUUGAGGCCUACCAUUGGCACCACGAGGCCUAUGGGUACUUCUUGCCCAUCCAGACAAGGUGGCAGGACAAUGACCAGUAUGGCCACGUCAACAACGCCGUGUACUAUAGCUACUUCGACACGAUUAUCAACCUCUACCUCAUCAGGUACUGUGGCCUGAAAACCAGCUUGCAGUCAUCCCCCAUGCUGGGGUUCAUGGUGGCCAACUGGUGUAUCUACCACACACCUAUCAGGUUUCCUUAGAUCCCAGUGGCUGCCUUGGUUGUGGAGAAAGUUAGUCACUCCAGUGUGCAUUACCUCCUUGCUCUAUUUCCACCUACGCCCACUGAGGAGCUGCCCUCUGUAGAUCACCGUGACCUCAGUGAUGCCUUUUUCUUUGGCCAUCCCAUGUUGGCACAGUUUGAUGCUCUGGCCUGUACCACUGGUUCUUCAGUUUAAGUCUUUGUGAAUCCAGCCACCGGCAAGCCAACAAGCCUUCCAGAAGACUUCCAGAGGGGCCUCCUGCAGCUGAUGAGGACAGCUUCCA
rnacentral:sRNA from 1 species